rnacentral:lncRNA from 1 species
GCAAAGUAUGCCGGGAUGGGUGUGGAGGCCGCGGAACUUCUGGCGGGCGCAAGCUAUAUGCCUUGUUGAUCUUGCCGCAUCUUUUUUACUAGAUGUCGGCUGACUGGCUGACUGGAGAGGACUCCAGAGACCUAUGAGAAUGAAUAACUAAGACAGAAGAGGCCUGAAUUAAAGUUUGCUGUGAGUCCCUUGCCACCCCCAUCAGUUGCAAACAAGAAUUAGUAUUUAUUUUGUUAAGGCACUGAAACUUGGGGGAUGUUUGUUUCAGCAGUUAGCCAACCCUGAUUAAUACACUUCAUUGGAUUAUUAUGAAGAUUACAUGAGGAAUCUUUGUAAAGUGCCUGAUAUAAAUUAGGUGUUUGGUAAAUGAUAGUUUUCAUCACCAUCAUCCUUUACACAUAUAAACAGGUAAGCAUUCAAGCAUUGCAGGUGCUAAGAAUUACCCACAUGACCAGAUUCUACAGGAUCUGAACUGGCAGAAUUGACAUUUUGCUGCCACUAUUAUAAUUAGACCCACCGUUACAAUUUCCGCUAUUUUUUAGUUGUAUAGGUGGAUAAUUCAUUUAAUGAUAGAUUUUGAGGUUAUAUGUUUCAUUCCUUUAUUGGCUUGUUAGUUUUAUCUAGUAUAAUCUUAACAUAUGAUACCCCUAACUUAAUUUGUAUGUCUUAUACCUGUAAUUGUGUCACUAUUCAAGAGCUAGGAGAGAGAGAUGAGAUCAAUGAUGUUCAACAGAAAUCUGAUCCAAGCCACAUACUUGAUUUAAAAUUUUCUAAUAGUCACAUUAAAAACGGUAAAGAAAAAACCAGGUAAAAUGAAUUUUUUUUAAAUUUUAUUAUUAUUAUACUUUAAGUUGUAGGGUACAUGUGUGCAAUGUGUAGGUUUGUUACAUAUGUAUACAUGUGCCAGAAUUUUAAUAGUAUAUUAUUUAACCUAAGAUUUCUAAAAUAUUAUUUCAACAUGUAAUAAAUAUUAUUUGUAUUCUUUUUUGGUGCUGAUUCGGAAAUCAGUAUGUGUUUUAAACUGACAGCACAUCUCAAUUGGACUAGCCUAAUUUCAAGUGCUCAAUAGUAACAUUUAUAUAGUGGCUACCAUAUUGGACAGUUCAACAAUAGAUAAUUCAGAAAAGAGCUAUUACUACAGCUGAAAGAAACAAGAAAUGUCAAAGUCACGUGCCACCAAUACUGGGUUCGCCACAUUUUCUUUGUACAUGAAGGAUAGCUUAUUUUUAUUGUUCUGGGGAAACAGAUGAGGAUCACAUCACCAGGAUGCUCAUCCAGGAGAUGAGCAUUUUACAUAUGAGAUGUUAUUUAUUGGGAGACACAAGUCCUGAACCUUCAUUGUAGCUCCACCUGCUGUGGUACUUUGCAUAUAGAAGUCUCUUGCAGAGAGUCAUUCAUGGAGGUGAUCAAUGUUCACAUAAUUAUGUGUUCAAUAUUCAUACAUUUAUAAUAAAAAUAUGUGUAUCUCUUACAAGAAACCAAACAUUCUGAGCUCAUAUCCUAAGGGAAGCCAUGAACCUGAAAUACAAUAACCCUAAAAUUUAAAAGCAAUAAAAGUUUUAUUUUUCUUAAGGAAUAACUGUUUGUUAUUACUGUUGGUCUCAAUUUUUAAAGGAAAUUUAUUUUUUUAAAUAAAAUAUAGACUUUAGAAAUCUGUGUAUUGAAAUGCACAUCUAUCCUUGUUUCAAUUAUAGUGCAGAAACUAGUCAUUUUCCAGUAUACAAAAGGUAAAACAGAGUUUACUUCAAAGACAUAAAAGUAAAACAGAGUUUAGUUCAAACAUUGUAAACAAUGUUUGAAUACAUAGUAUGGUUAAAGGUGACAGGCAGUCACUUCUGGGAGGGAAUAAUAUGUUGCAAGUUUGAAAGAGAAUGGAUUAUUCAAGAUGUCAUAUCAUGAGAAGGAAAUAGUAUCUGAUAUUGAAAGCACUGAAAGAGAAUUUAACAUGUGCUAGAGAAACAAGAGAUACAUCUAAUGCUUAGGAAAGAUAGGGUUUUAGGACCCCUUCCUUAUACCAUAUACAAAAAAAUCAACUGAAGAUGGAUUAAAGACUUAAAUGUAAAACCCCAAAUUACAAAAACCCUGGAAUACAACCUAGGUAAUACCAUCCUGGACAUAGGAAUGGGCAGAUUUAAUGACAAAGACACCAAAAUAAAGUACAGCAAAAGCAAAAAUUGACAAGUGGGACCUAAUUAAACUUAAGAGCAUCUGCACAGCAAAAGAAAUUAUCAAUGGAAUAAACAGAUAGCCUACAUUCUGGGAGAAAGUAUUUGCACACUAUGCAUCUGACAAAGGUCUAAUAUCCAACAUCUAUAAGGAACUUAAACCAAUUUACAAGAGAAAAACAACCCCAUUAAAAAGUGGGCAAAGAACAUGAACAGACACUUUUGAAAAGAAGACACGUGUGGCCAACAGGUAUAUGAAAAAAAGCUCAUUAUAACUGAUCGAGACCAUCCUGGCCAACAUGGUGAACCCCGUCUCUACUAAAAAUACAAAAAAUUAGCUGGGCAUGGUGGUGCAUGCCUGUAAUCCCAGCUACUCGGGAGGCUGAGGCGGGAGAAUUGCUUGAACCAGGGAGUCGGAGGUUGCAGUGAGCCAAGAUCGCACCACUGCACUCCAGCCUGGCAACAGAGAGUGAGACUCCACCUUAAAAAAAAAAUACUGAUUCACUUUUGCAAUUUUUCAGAUACUACUUGAUGUGACACCUCCCCUAGGCUUGCUGUGGGUCUCUUGGAAGAUAGAGCUAUAUUAACUCCUUGACUUAAAGGGCAGCAGACUAUAUAAGGUCUCUUUACAGACAGAGUAGGGAGAAUAAUGAAAAACUUUUUGAUUUCUAGAGAGAAGAGAGAAGACAUAGCAAUGGAACUGUUCUUAGCUUUGUUUGCUACAACUCUUCAAAGUUUAAUUUUAGAUUCAGUGCAUUUAUUCAUAGAGCAUGAAACAUAUAAUCAUGCCUUUUACUAAUUGCGGAUACUUAAAAUUAUAUAUUUUUGACCUACUGUGUUAUGGUCAAUUUGAAAAAGAAUGGUUUGAUUAUAUAUUAUUGUCUGUAGAUUCCCUGUACUAUUCUAGGAUCAUAUGACAUAUUAUCAUUACUAAAUAUAGCACUAAUUAUUGAUGCUCCCUAUGGUAUUUAAAACUAAUUUAAUUAUAAUGUUUCCCUAAAUUCAUAUUUUAAUAAAGCAGAAGAAACUGAUUACAUUUGAAUGUACAAGCUUAUAUGCUACUAGAAACAAUUGUUUUCUAAAUUCCUUAAUUUAUUAAAAAAAUAGCAAUGGCUCUCUUAAGGAGCCAUUUGUGCACUGAGUAUAGAAAGGUGUAUAACUGUAUUAAAAUUUAAGGCAAUGCAUAUUUUUAUAGCUUCCUUAUCCCCAAAACACUUCUGUAUUGGCUGGUUCACAUACAGAAAAUGAUACCUUUUCCUGCUGACCAGAAACUUCUUCAGAUUAUCUGGUGACUUAAGAGACCUUAAACAAACAUUCUUAAGCAGUAGUUCCCAAAAUAGUUACUUUCUAAGUUAUAUUCUUUAAAUGUCAUGGUUCUUCACAUGAUUGUAGAUGUGUAUUAAAGAACUUGCUUCCCCAGGGUCCAUGUGCUAGGUUGUUAUUAUUUUCCCCAAUUAUUCACUGAGUUCCCCAUAGGAGGAUUGUACUUCCCAGCCCCAGGGUUGGCCAUGUGCUUUUCUUUGACUAAUGGGAACAUGAGUGACUUAUAUGUUGUCUAACCAUAAACUUUACUUGCCAUCAGUCAUUUCACCAUUGCUUUUUUCCCUGUGGCACAAGAAUGGUGUGUCAUAGAGAAUGUUCCUUCAGCCUGGAUCCUGGAAUGAAGAAAACGUGGAACAGAGUCACAGCCCACCUGCAGUCAAUAUGGAACAUAGGCUGGAAAUAAACCUUUUUUGUAAAACAACAGGAUUUGGGGGUUGAUUUUUACCACAGCAGAAACUUGGAAAAGCUGACUUCUCAGACUGUAAUUGCAGCUCUUGUUGAAUGAAAAAAAGGAAACUUAGGUGGUCAUGUAACUCACUUCUGUUCUACCAGCCUGCACUUCAGCCUGCAGUUGCUUGGGUCCAAUCCACUCCUACAUUUUGCUCUUAAGGAUUUGAACUGAGAGGCAUAGAAUGUUGUGUUCAAUUAUGGUGACCUUGAGCUGAAAGGUUUUGUAGAGCAAGGGUUACGGUUGGUUUCACAAGCUGAAGUCAUGAGUAAGCAGAAGGUAUAAGUGAGCCGAGGAAGCUGAUAUGCAGAUCAUAGUAACAGUCAACAUUUAUUGAGAAGUUACUUUAGGCCAAACAUUUCUCCAAGCACACCCUAUGUAUAAUCUCCUUUAGUCUUCAUAUCCAUGCUAUGGACAGGGCCAAAUUGAGACAGCUGCAAUAAGCAUUGAAAAGAUUAUGGUGUUUUGUUGCCACUCCUGCAAUGUAAGCACAAACCCAAGAUAAUUUCAUAUAAUACCCAUUAUAUUGCAAAAUCACCACUUUAAUGACCAUAUGGAUGCUUUUUCAUAUCAAUUUUUUUGAAAUAUUUUAUCCCUUCAUCUUGAUUCCCCUGCUUUGCUGGUGCAUGGAGCACAUUCUUAUUCUGCCUAUGGGUAAUAUAUGACUGCUUAUGAGGUAGGUACUGAUUAUUAUUCCACUUUACAAAUAAAGAAAUGGAAUCUUCAAGAGGUUGCAAAGAUGUCUAUGGUCAUAUACAUACUAAGGGCUGGAACUGAAAUUCAAACUUGGAUCUAUUAUCAUAGAUACAAAAAUCAGUGCACUUAGCCACAGUGGAACAAAAGAUGAAGCUUAGGAGACACCAAGAAGAACCUCUGCUCCUCAUUUUCCAGUUUCUAACUCUUAUGUGGCCUGGCUAUGGUUAAUAUACUGCUCUUAUAUGUGCACUGGAGGUGAGGAGAGAAUAGAGAAGUCAAAGAAAAUGCCCUCAUCUAUCUGUCUUUAGGGUUACUCUUCGUUUGAGGUAUCCUAAAACAAUACUGCUUGUUUCUUAAUAUUUUACUAGAAACCCACUUAGGGUUUGUCCAAGCCCUCUUUCUUGUUACACCACAGACAUAAGUCCAGGCAGCUAGGCCAAGGUGGAUUGAAUGACAGCUAUGCAGAUUGUACAAAUAUGUGGCAACUAAGACUUUGUCACCUAGUCAAGUUUAUUGUGCUUGGCUGGCUCUUCUCUCCCUUAAAAUAAGAAGUCCUGUCUUCUGUAGUUUCUCAGUCUCUCAAGCAAAAUUUCUCUAUGGUGUAGUGACUCAGUUUCCCAGAUAUCUGCACAUUUCUGAGCCCAAGUAGUAGUGUUAAGAAUAUUUAUUUUUGAAUUAGACUGCUGUCAACAUCAUUUGCUAGCCAGAGGACAUUGAAUAAAUUACUCUUCUAAGGAACUACCACAUAGGGUUAUUGGGAAGUUUGGGUGAGGCUUUCUGCUAUAGGCUGAGCAUAGGCUGAACAUGGGCUGCUUUGUUAUUUAUUAUCGACAUGUAGUGCUUUAUGUGUCUACAAACUGAUAAUCUCUUGAAAUAACUGAGGUCCACACUUUCCAACCCAAUAGUUUAGAAAGCCGAGAGUCUCAGUUUAUCUAAAUGGAUUAAACCUUUAAGGUACUUUUGAUUUAUCUCUUAAAAGGGAGUUGGAAUAUUGUUAAGGACCUUCUAAGUCAAGCCUCCCUUGAAGGCCCCUUUGUUACCACUGAUAUUAGUGAACCGUGUCCAGCUUCAUGGUGGUGGCAUUGUGGGAAGGAACACGAGGUCCUUACUCUGAUUGCAGCUGUGUUCAUUCUGGCUAGGAAUUUCUGACAGGGAAUAAAAUUCAGGGCCUUCAGCUGUCUAGUUGUGUCUUGAGGCUAUACAACUUGAAGUUUUGCCAAAUCCCUCCCCUUCACCCUUCAUGGGUUUUUGGCAAUUGGUUACAGGGCAUGGAACUUUGCCUGUAAUCACAUGGCAGGGACCAAGAAUUCUAGGUUCUUUAUCAUCUGCAGGUGCAGCCCCUCAGGUAUUAUGCAGCUGCAGUGAGGGGUGUUUAAAGCAGGGAACCAUACUGACUAGAGUUUAGACAAGUGAUUCUCAAAGUUUUGUGUGCGUCAGAAUCAACUGGAGGGUCUGUAAACAUAUAGAUUGCUGAUCUCUGACCCCUGAGUUUCUGAUCCAUUAGCUGUAGGUGGGGCCUGAAAUUUUGCAUUUCCAGCAAGUUCCCAGGAUAUGAUGUUGUUAAUCCAGAUACCUAGAAAUAUUUCUCUAUUAAUAUUUGUAUUGUGUCCUCUCUCCAUAGGAUUUUACCACUCAAAAAUCUUUUUAUUAACCAAUAUGAUAUCAGAUAUGGAUGUAGUUGACUGGCAGACAUGGUUGCAUAAAAUCUAUUGAUGGGGACUUGUUUUACUGAAUUUUCUAUCAAAUCACAUAACAAUGACAUCUGUAUGGUCACUGCUUUACAUUUAUUUAUAAACAUUAAACGGAAGUAUAUUUGGGUGAAGUACAAAGAUAGAUAAAAUUAGAUUUAACAAUAGGAAACAUAUUUUCAAGAAGUAUAGUUCAGUUUUACUCUUGGGAAACAUAUUUUUAUAGAGCUAAAAGUAAAUAAUGUCCUAAUCUGAGAGGCCUGAAAUAACACUGCUGAAAUUUACAUGCUUUGUUGAAUGCGACUUUUAGAAAUGUUUACUCCCAAGAAGUCUAGGUUCAAGAUGUAUAUAAAAUGAUAUUGAUAAUUCACAUGUAUUAAUUGUUUAUUAUUUGCUAAGCAUUGUGCUAGAUGCCUUCCUCUUACAGUCUUAUGAGGUAGGCACAGUAUUUGCAUCCUUGUUUUAAAGAUGAGAAAACUGAAGCUUAGGGAUGUUAAGUGACAUGCCAUACUCAUACCUCGGCAGGAUUUGAGUGAAAGUCUGACUCUCAAAUUUAAGCUUUUAAUUAGUAUCCUAUACAGAUUUUAUAGGACAAAUUUGUUAAGUCAGAGAUACAAGCCCUCUGUUGUUGUCACCUUUUAACAAUCUUUCUUCCUUCAGAGAACUCCCUUACCCUUCAAGUACACAGCUUCUUCCUGAUUUCUAGGGAUCCUUCUUUAUUGAGAAAUUUCAUGCUUUAUUUGCAUGUUAAUGUUUUCACCUCUUUUCAAUUAAAGGCUCUGUUUCCUAUUGAAGUUUUAGGCAAUAUCAAGUAGGAUUUUUUUUUUGAACAAAGAAAAAUUAUUGUCUUUGAAAUCAUACUAUUUCUGAGGUUAAGUUUAAAAGCUGACCUGCUUGUGUCAUAUUAGGAUUCUUUCAAUCUUAGGAGAGUGAGAACAAUGGAAUUCUUGAACUUUUCCCAUUCUUUCUUCUGGCUGUGCUCUCGAUGAGCUCUAUGGACUUGACCAAGUCACCUACCCAAUUUACAUCUCUGUUCUCAUUCACCUUUUGUUUUAUGCAUGCUUAGUUUUCAUAUUUUGACAUCGCUGUGGCAUGAUCGCUUUGAGCGCAAUAUUUAAAAAUCAAAGGGGCCAAGGCUUUCAAUCAUUAGACUUGUUUUAAAAGGCAAAGAAACUAUUGAAAACCAGAGUUGCAUUUCAUGCAUUUUAUGCAUGCCUCUAACUUACAUUAGAGGCUAACUUAUCAUGUUUAUUUCUGGUUUAUGAAGGUAGAUUUUGUAAGAACUAUUCUGUUCUGGUUUUUACUUUUUAUUCUUACUAAGAGUCUGUGAGCACUACUCUUGAAAUGCUUGAUCUGACCCAAGUUGACAUGUGCUUAUUUUCCUUCCUGAAGCAAAAGCCUAUUAACACUUCAAAAGGUUUCAAACCAUAAGAUUACCAUUACUCCAAAUAUUCUCUCCAAUUCAAAUUGACAGAGUUCCCACUCCAUCAAACACUUGGUAAAAGAGCAUGUUUAUCUUUAACUUCAGAAGAGUAUAACACAGAAAGUGUAAAGUGUUAUAUAAAAAUUUUAUUCCCAGAGUAUCAAAAGAUAAAAAAGCAAGGAAAAUUACAUUAUAUGUCUUUCAGCAAUCAUUUUUUUCACUAAUUUAACAUUUAUUGAGGGCCCACUAUGUGUUGUUGAGGGCCCACUAUGUGUGAGACAGUGAUGCUGCUAGACUCAGACCAUCUUUAAUAACAUUUGAAUGUGUAAGAUUUUUGCCUUGGCUUUCUUCAUAGAAAUUUCCAUUGGUAUAAAAACAAAAUAUUCAUUAAAAUAAUUUGAUAGAAUGUUCCACAGCCAGUUCUAUACUUCUAUGUGUACAAAAUCAGGAAGAACCUCUUAUUUUCCCUAGAGCAGAUCUUGGGGAUGUUGCAUACCAGUUCACAUUUAUUGAGCACUUGUAGGUGCUAUACCAAGUGUUGAAUGGAUACUCUCUCAUUUAAUCCUCUCAAGAGUCCUCAGACACAACCAUUAUUAUCACACUUCUGAAGUUGUAGAAACAGGCAUGGAGAACGAACUCACUUGUGCAAAGUUACACAGCAUCAGUCAGGAUUCAGAUUGUUUUCUGUUGACUCUGAAGUUCAUACCAUUAACUGCUAUACUACAAAAGGUGCUUGCCUAAAGAUGGUCCUAUACUUUUGACUUUGUAGUCUCUGAAGCUUAAGUACCUCUGGGUUUUGCAGCAGCUAUGGACAUAGAAGCAUGUAUGGUAAUAAUAAUGAUAAAGCUAUCAAUUGUAAUAAUUAUAAUGGUUAAUAAUAUAAAUGAUAGCAUUUAUAACAAUAUAAUUAGAUAAUAUAGUAAUUAAUAUUUUUAUAAUGUGUUAUAUGUUAGUAAUAUUAUAAAAUAGCUAUCUUCAAUAACCCUUACAAUAUGCUAGACAAUGUUCUGUGUGUUAAACCAUGCAUUGACUCAUAUGGCUUAAAAGCAAAAUAUAAGAGAAGCCAGAUGGAGGGAUAUUGAGAGACAUACUGAGAAGUUGGAAGGCAUGUCUUUUACCUAUUAAAGCGCUGAUGAUGUCAGAUAUCCAGAUACUUGCAAAUUUUGGGAAAAAGAUAAAAUUUUUAAUUUUUAUUUUCAUAUUUAAGUUCUUUAGGUUUAGCUUUGGUAUCAACUAAAUGCCACCCCAAAUGACAGUACAACAGGGUUGUCACAUUUAACUCCUUUUUGUUAGUAAAAUAUAAGAAAAAAUAGUGAGGGAAGAUAUGGUACAUUCCAGUAAAUUGUAUUCACCUUUCAUAUUAUAUUUGUUCUCAUGGCUUUUGAAGAGUAAGAGCACCAGGGAGAAUAGUUGCUUUAGUUUCAUUAUCAGCUCCUCUGAUAAUGUAUUGGUGCCUUGGCUACUAUAAAUUGUCAUCUUUGUAUUCUGGGACUACCAACAUUGCCAUAUUUGUGUUCUAAUGCUGUUUGGAGCUCACUGUUGGUUGGGAACAUGAUUCUGUGUUUUGGAUGUUUUCAAACUGAAUAAUAUUGUUUGUUUGAUAUCAUCUAUUGCUAUGCUUUUUAAUUCAUCUUCUGUAUUAGAGCAUCAUCUGGUAAGUUAAAGAAAAAGCAUGAGCUCAAUUUCUAAAGGUUCUGAUUUAAUUAAUCUGGUAUUUUUAAAAAGACUCCCCAGGAGAUUCCAAUUUGCAGCCACUGAUUUCCCAGAUGCCCAACAUUUUAUUAGCUUCCAUCUCUGAAUUACAAUGUCUUUUCUUCUUAGCACCAUGAACAGGAUGGCAUCAAAGUAGAAUUUCUUCAGCCUAGUCCUCUGAAAUAAGUUUAAGAACCCCAGGCUAAAUAUGCAAAACAUAGAAUUACAGGAAUGUCUCAGGUUCUUUAUGUUAGUGCUAGGAAAUUAGGGGAUCCUUGUGUGGCUUUAGGCCUAACUUGGUUUAAAUUGACUUGUUAAUACAUUCAUUUAACAGCGAUUUGUAUAGGUACUUUUAGGAAACCAGGCUGAUAAUUGGUCUGUUACAUAUAUGUGUUCCUGUUUGUGUCAUUGUCUUAGUAAGAAGUAUUCUAUAUUGCUAUGAUUGGAUUUAGUUGUUUUUAUGUGGCCUUAUUGCUUUUAGUGGAAGAAUUAUUUUAUUAUGUUCUUUUGUAACUUUGUUGAUCAGUUUUGUAGUUCUACUAUACAAUGAAGUAGAACAUGGUUAUUGUUCAUUAUGAUACUUACAUACUUUAUAUAAAGAAAAUUAUUUAAAGAACUGGGU